ensembl:lncRNA novel transcript
AUGCCCAUCCCAAGAUGGCGGAGAUCCCCCUGUACUUUGUGGACUUGCAGGAUGACUUAGACGACUAUGGAUUUGAAGACUAUGGUACAGAUUGCGACAACAUGAGAGUAACGGCCUUCUUGGACAUUCCAGGCCAGGAUAACCUGCCUCCACUCACUCGCCUGGAGAAGUAUGCUUUCAGCGAGAACACCUUCAACCGGCAGAUUAUUGCCAGAGGGCUGCUUGAUAUCUUCCGGGACUUCGGUAACAAUGAAGAAGACUUCCUCACGGUAAUGGAGAUUGUAGUCAGAUUGUCAGAAGAUGCAGAUAAUCUGCAAAAUGGCUUCAAUGCUGAGUAAGAGUACCGUUGAACGCCUGCUACUCCCCCGAUUCUGUGAACUGUGUGGUGACAGGAAGCUCUUUCAAGUUCGGAAGGUUUGUGCUGCAAAUUUUGGUGAUAUUUGUCAUGCUGUUGGACAAGAAGCCACUGAGAAAUUUUUGAUCCCAAAGUUCUUUGAGCUCUGCUCUGAUGCUGUUUGGGGCAUGCGGAAAGCCUGUGCAGAAUGCUUCACGGCUGUGUCGCACAGCUCCUCCCCUGGGGUCCGCAGAACCCAGCUCUUCCCGCUCUUCAUCAGACUUGUCAGCGACCCCUGCCGAUGGGUGCACCAGGCUGCCUUCCAGUCCCUCGGCCCCUUCACUUCCACCUUUGCAAACCCCUCCAGGGCUGGCCUUUAUCUUCGAGAGGAUGGCGCCCUGAGCAUCUGGCCACUCACCCAGGAUUUGGACUCUGGUUUUGCCUCUGGCUCCCCUGCUCCCAGCAGUGGUGGUAACACUUCCCCUGCCAGUUUAACUCGUUCAGCAAAGCCUGUGCGGAGCGAGCCAGAGCUACCUGUGGAAGGGACCUCAGCGAAAACCAGUGAUUGCCCACACAGCAGUAGCUCCUCUGACGGCCCAGCGGAAAGCCCUGUGGAAAGCUGUGUGUCGGCUGGAGCUGAGUGGACCAGGGUUUCCCCAGAGACCAGCGCCUGCUCAAAGCUUUCUGACAUGAAUGACCUCCCCAUCAGCAGCUACCCUGGAUCAGAUUCCUGGGCCUGCCCAGGGAACACUGAGGAUGUGUUCAGUCAUUUUCUUUAUUGGUGAACUCCUCUCCCUGACAUAAGCAAGGACUUAGAGCUGCUUCUGAGUGAGGCUGGGCCUCAGGAGGACGACUGCAGCAGACCUGGGGUUGUGCACAACAGCUGUGUGGCCCGGAGUGAGAUUCAGAAAGUCCUUGGUAGCUUGCAGGAGCAUCUGAUGAAUGAUCCAGAUGUUCAAGCUCAAGUUCAGGUAUUAUCCGCUGCACUGAGAGCUGCACAGCUCGACUGCGUGAAUGAAGCUGAGAGCAAGCCAACAGCAGGCCUAAAGGAAGUGUCCAUUUCACAUCCCAGCUCUGCCUCUGACAAUCAGAUCGCUCUGGCGGCCUCAUCAUCUCAGGAUGAGCUCUUUGUGGCCAGGAUAUUACAAAGCCCAGAUCCAGGUGGACCCAGAAAUGGAACCAGUGACCAUCUGGAGACUGACCAGAGGCAGGAUCCCACCCCACUUGAAGAGAAUAAAUCUAAAUUACAGGAUGUAAUACCUCAGCCGCUGCUAGAUCAGUAUGUGUCCAUGACUGACCCAGCUCGAGCCCAGACUGUCGAUACUGACAUAGCCAAACACUGUGCCUACAGCCUCCCAGGGGUGGCACUGACCCUGGGCAGGCAAAAUUGGCACUGCCUGAAAGAUACAUAUGAAACACUGGCUUCUGAUGUACAGUGGAAGGUACGGCGAGCCCUAGCCUUCUCCAUUCACGAGCUGGCUGUGAUUCUUGGGGAUCAGUUAACAGCAGCUGACCUGGUGCCUAUCUUCAAUGGAUUUUUAAAGGAUCUGGAUGAAGUGCGAAUAGGAGUUCUUAGACACCUGUAUGAUUUUCUAAAGUUGCUUCAUGAAGACAAGAGGAGAGACUAUCUUUAUCAGCUUCAAGAAUUUGUAGUGACUGAUAACAGCAGGAAUUGGAGGUUUCGAUAUGAACUAGCAGAGUAAGUAAAAACAUAUUUGGGGAUAUGAGAAAGCAAACUAGAUGGAAUAAAUCUUAAUUUUCUUACCAUAUAAUUGAUUUCUAAAGCAGCAGCAAUAGUGUUCUUUUAGAUAAAGAGAUUAUGUUUUUAUUAAGGUAUAAACAGAAUUCCAAAAACCCUGAGUUACAAAUACCACAGUCUCCGGGGAGACAUUCAUUUUCAGAUGAAGACAGGGCUUGAGUCACUUUCGAAUUAGAGUGUUCUGCUGUUCUAGAAGGCAAUUUAUUUGAACCAAAUAAAAGAUGAAUCACCC